rnacentral:rRNA from 1 species
UACGUAGGUGGCAAGCGUUGUCCGGAUUUACUGGGCGUAAAGAGUAUGUAGGCGGAUAUUUAAGUCAGAUGUGAAAUUCCCGGGCUUAACCUGGGCGCUGCAUUUGAAACUGGGUAUCUAGAGUGCGGGAGAGGAAAGUGGAAUUCCUAGUGUAGCGGUGAAAUGCGUAGAGAUUAGGAAGAACACCAGUGGCGAAGGCGACUUUCUGGACCGUAACUGACGCUGAGAUACGAAAGCGUGGGGAGCAAACAGG